rnacentral:rRNA from 1 species
CGGUUGAUCCUGCCGGAGAUCACCGCUAUUGGAAUUCGGCUAAGGCAUGCGAGUCGAGAGGGUACGGCCCUCGGCUGACGGCUCAGUAACACGUGGAUAAUCUGCCCUUAGGUGGGGGAUAAGCUCGAGAAAUUGAGCAUAAUACCCCAUAACCCUAGAAUGCUGGAAUGCUUCUAGGGUAAAAGCCCCGGCGCCUAAGGAUGAGUCUGCGGCCUAUCAGGUUGUAGUGAGUGUAACGGACUCACUAACCUACGACGGGUACGGGUCCUGGAAGGGAGUGCCCGGAGAUGGACUCUGAGACACGAGUCCAGGCCCUACGGGGCGCAGCAGCCACGAAAACUUCACAAUGCGGGAAACCGCGAUGAGGGAAUUCCAAGUGCUAAUACUUUGUAUUAGCUGUUUUCCUGCCUAAAAAGCAGGUAGAGUAAGGGCUGGGUAAGACUGGUGCCAGCCGCCGCGGUAAUACCAGCAGCCCAAGUGGUGAUCGUUAUUAUUGGGCCUAAAGCGUCCGUAGCCGGCCUAGUAAAUCCUUGGGUAAAUCGGGCAGCUUAACUGUCCGAAUUCUGAGGAGACUGCUAGGCUUGGGACCGGGAGAGGUCAGAGGUACUUCUAGGGUAGAGGUGAAAUUCUGUAAUCCUAGGAGGACUACCAGUGGCGAAGGCGUCUGACUAGAACGGGUCCGACGGUAAGGGACGAAACCCUGGGGCGCGAACCGGAUUAGAUACCCGGGUAGUCCAGGGCGUAAACGCUGCGGGCUUGGUGUUGGGGGUCCUACGAGGGCGUCCAGUGCCGGAGAGAAGUUGUUAAGCCCGCCGCCUGGGGAGUACGGUCGCAAGACUGAAACUUAAAGGAAUUGGCGGGGGAGCAC